UCCUCCUCACGCUCUUCUUUCCACGCCCACUUUGCCAUAUAGUCCUCCAAAGGGUCCAGGUGGCAUGUCGGGGCGCUCUCUUGUCGGCAUUGGGACAGAAAACAAAAAGGGUGGUGAAGGAUAUACUGUACUCCAUUCCACAAUCUGCCGGGAGCCUGCAAUGCUUCCUUUGCCCACAGACCUGUGGUGCUGGUGCUGGUUGUUGUUCUUGUUGUUGAUGAUGUUUCCCUUUGAGAAAGAGAGUUGAGAAGUAAAUCCUCUCCAAAUCUUGGAAGUUCUCUGGCUUUUGGUGUGGUUGAGGGGACCUUGGUACGUCUCUUACACACACACACACACACACACACACACACACACACACACACACACACAUACACGCGCGCGUAAGAUGCUGCACUGCUUCACUCAGAGCUCACUGCCAUUUCAUCCGCCCGCUUCCUCGAAAGCACCGGGAAUGCCACCGGAUCUAGCAGAGACUCACUCAUGCUCACGUUUGGAUUUAACACCAACGUGCACUUGCCCGUCGUUGGAAGCUGCGGGAACGCGAAUAAUCAAUUAAGUAUUGAUUUCUUGUACGAUUUUGUAGAUUUCAAAGACAAAGCGGGUAGCUUAAGGAGCGCCGCGAGCACGAGGAGCCGCAAAUUAGCUAAUAAACACAGACGGGGGGGAGUAAACGAAGGCAAACGAACGAAGCGUCUGUCAUUGCGUUGAUAUGCUUGUUUUUUUUUUUUUUUGUGCCCCUCCAGAUGAAUUAACGGCAUGCGUGACGAGGGUUUCCUACGAAGAAGAUGCGAUGGCAAAUGGGUGCGCAAGGGUUAAAAGCAAGCGCUCCAGGAGGAGAGAGAGAGUGACUGAAGGACUGGGUAAUUAGGCGGACCGCAACUCACGCCUCAUCAGUAUGCGGAGUAUGCAAAUUAAACGUCUGCUUCUUUCUUUUUUGUGGAGGAUCAGAAGGCAAGCGCCGCAGAGAAGAAUUAAGAGCAAUUAUUCUCCCCCCUGGAAAGGCUGCUAUAUGCAAACAAGGGACGGAGAGCAGAGCUAUACAAUGGACCCCGAUGCUUCAUUUGUUUGAGGGCUUUCUAAUCCGGGGACCGAAACAACCUCAGUCCACCGUGCCCUCGUCAAUCACCGCUGGAAAAGAACGCGGUGGAGGUGAAGAAGGUGCAGCGAGGAGAGAAGAAGACUUGAGGGGGUCUCCAAAAGGAAAACGAUGGAUGCAAGGUGACCCAAUCCUGACACAACACCCACACACACCCGCGCGCACACACACUCGCAGGUGGGUAGGAAACACAAUUAUCAACAAGCACGUACACAUUCCCACAAGGGCACGUCGGAGCACUCAAAUAGCAACGCAACUCAAUCACAUAGGUGUGUUGAUCCCCAAAUGGGGAUUAUAAAGUGCUGAUGUUAGGAGUGAAAGAAAGACAGCUUUGCCAAAGCUUCCUCUUCAUUCUAACGCUGAUAACGCUAACAGUAUUGACAGUGGCUACAAGAAGUUAUCAUUUUUCUCUCGACUCUUCUGUUAUGUUGUCUUGAAAGACCGACGUUCAGACAAACGUGAACUCCCAUUGACCAUUUCUUGGAGCGAUGGGAAUCGCCAUCACUGAGGCCACAGGGAGCACUGCCAGAGAUACAUACAUUCUUGAUCUGUAGAAAAAUGCGAUCGGAUCCCGUUGAGUCCGUUGAACUUAACUCAUUUGAACGUUAUCGAGAGAGGGCUUUCAAAAAAAAACAACUGAAGCCAAAGCAAAAGUGCUGUACAGAGAGCUCAAACCAUAAACCAUAAAAUAAUGAUCAUGAUAAAGUGAAUACGAAAAGAAUCAAGACAAAAAAAUGUGCUUCAUUGAAUUGAAACCCAGUCGGUGACAUGUAAACACUGCCGCAUUGCAUUGGUGAGUGCAACAAACUUCUCAGGUUAAAGAUAUUUUGUUUUUGUUUCUUUUCUGUUUUUUUUUCCAUGUCCCUACUGUCUUGUCUGAUCCUGUGCGGAGCAAAAUGAAGUGAAGAAAUAGAUUUCCUGAUCAAACAUCACCAUUGUGAAAUAAAAAGGACAAAAGGGUUGGCACUGAUACAAACGGAGAAGAGCAAAAUGCUUUGUGUCCACGUCGGCAGGACUGAUCUGAUUUGGCCAUUGGAGAUGGGAUUUCCAGUGACUCCGUUUAUCCCCGCAAUGCUUGAGUGUGACCUUUGCCGCCUUACCCGUCCCUUCUGUGUGUGUGUGUGUGUGUGUGUGUGUGUGUGUGUGUGUGUGUGUGUGU